rnacentral:rRNA from 1 species
CGUAGGGUGCGAGCGUUGUCCGGAAUUACUGGGCGUAAAGAGUUCGUAGGCGGUUUGUCGCGUCGUUUGUGAAAACCCGGGGCUCAACUUCGGGCUUGCAGGCGAUACGGGCAGACUUGAGUGUUUCAGGGGAGACUGGAAUUCCUGGUGUAGCGGUGAAAUGCGCAGAUAUCAGGAGGAACACCGGUGGCGAAGGCGGGUCUCUGGGAACAACUGACGCUGAGGAACGAAAGCGUGGGUAGCAAACAGGAUU